AACGAACGCUGGCGGCGUGCCUAACACAUGCAAGUCGAACGAGAAAGGGGCUUCGGCUCCGAGUAAAGUGGCGCACGGGUGAGUAACACGUGGGUAACCUGCCUCUAAGAUUGGGAUAACUCGUCGAAAGAUGAGCUAAUACCGAAUAAGACCACAGUUCCCGCGGGAACAGGGGUCAAAGGUAGCCUCUGCUUGCAAGCUAUCACUUAGAGAUGGGCCUGCGCACCAUUAGCUAGUUGGUAGGGUAACGGCCUACCAAGGCAAAGAUGGUUAGCUGGUCUGAGAGGAGGAUCAGCCACACUGGAACUGAGACACGGUCCAGACUCCUACGGGAGGCAGCAGUGGGGAAUAUUGCGCAAUGGGCGAAAGCUUGACGCAGCAACGCCGCGUGAGUGAUGAAGGCCUUCGGGUCGUAAAGCUCUGUCGGGAGGAACGAAUGCUCCUGAGGUUAACAGCCUCGGGAGGUGACGGUACCUUCAAAGGAAGCACCGGCUAACUCUGUG
rnacentral:rRNA from 1 species